CAAGAAAAAAACCCAUCCACUAGUGAGCAGCGCACAAGUUCCAAAGGCACAUACAGAAAAAAAUGUUCUCGGUCAAAACACAGGUACAACAUACACACUCGGCGCAAACACUUCACGAUACUCUAAACUUUUCUCCCAUGGGGUUGCCAGUUAUUCGAAUCGUCGAACUGCCACUAGAGGUCCUCACAAAGUCGCCAACAAAGUUCGCACCCCGAAAUUUUAGCCCGCUCGCAAAAGCCUACGUGCUACGCACCGAUAAACGAUAUCCAAUAAGAGCGGUGUUUUUCCAAACGUCACAUCCGUCGCGACGCCAUCGACCAAUGAAAUAAUUAACCUUCAUCUGUGUUUUAAUACAAUUAACGAAUUAGGUUUCGAGAAAUAUGUUAUUUCCGGAAUUUGAAAUAAUCGAUCAAUUUGACAUGAAACUUUUUUUUGUACAACAAAAUUUUUAAAUCCGACAAACUUUUCACCCAUUAUUGCGCGUUCAAGAAUUCAUGCAGUAUAUCUAAAAUUUAAAAAAAUCAGAUUUGUUUUUGAUUUUUCAAUUAACCCUUCGAGUGUAUAUGGUGUCAUUAUGACACCAUAAUGGCCGUUUUCUCCGACGCAGUUCAAACUCAGUUCAAUUUUUUUCAUGUAGUUUCGAGAUAGCAUGAACCGAGUUUAAACUCAGAUUAUCGUUGGAGAAAACGGGCAUAAGCAUAUUGGAUGACGCAAGAAGUGUGCACUCGAAGGGUUAAAAUCAUUUUCGACAAAUGUCGAUUUUGAUGCAACAAUCACUGCGACAAGAGUCCAAAAAAACAAUUGACACUUACAAAAAAAUUCACGAAUCGAAAACCUAUAUCUGCCAAAUUCACGGAGAUGACGAUGAUGACUUCUAAUAUUUUGAGAUUUUGAGCACAGUGCUCUUUUCGGAAAAUAGAAAAUCGAAAAACCCGCUCGUCAGUUUUACAUGUCAAAGGAAAUCAAUCAUUUCAAUUUAAUAAAAAUAAAAUGAGCUCAAAACUGUCAAAAAUAUUUUGGUGGUCCAACAACAUCAGUGGAAAUGUACGGGUUCGAAAUUCACAGUUAUGUGCGUGCGUGCAUGGGGCUGCUACGAUGUCCAAGGUAGCGAGCUAUUCUCGUCUCGUAUGCCUAGAAACGUCGAAAAACGAAGUUGCGUUGCGAAAGCGCGCGCGCCCAAUGAUCGAUGUCCAAUGACAGCUACGACACACCAGAAAACAACUAGAGAAGGAAGAGUUCUCAUUCGAUGUCGCUUAUCACUUUUCAUUCCACUGUAAACUGCGAUCUUGGCUACUACAGCAUGUUGACUUUGAAGUUAAAAAUGCGUUUUUUUUUCCUGGGCUUCGAUUGUAGAUUAGCGGUGUACGUAUCUGCAGAUUCGGUUAUUUAAAAAAUGCAAUAUAUUUUUUCUGAGAUCGCAAACACGAUGUGCAUUUAUUUCACACGUUAUGGAGGUUAUGAAUUGAUGUAUUAUAAUAAUGCUGCAAUGAAAACAAAAUUGUGAUAAUACGAUAACUAUAAACGCAGCGGUCAUAACACAA